GCCUUUCCACCACAAAAGCUGAAGCCUCCACUGUCUCUGACUCCAGAGGAGUGUCUUCUGACUCCUGAGGAGAAGUCACCUCUGACUGCACCUGGGAAAGAGGAGUAUUUGCAUAAUCCACUACUGUAGCAGAAGUCUCUUCACUGCAUAGAAAGGUUGGUCAUAUUCUCAAAAUCUCUCCUGUAGUGAUGUUCUGCAGGGAAAAAUGCAUCUUCAUCAAAGACUGAGCUAAAUCAGGGCAAAUAAUUUACGUAUAAUAAAGUAACACUGCAAUGA